rnacentral:tRNA from 1 species
CAUUAGAUAACUUAAAUACAAGUAAUGAUCUCUUAAAUCAAAUUAUAGUAGAUUAGUAACUACUUCUAAUGA